rnacentral:rRNA from 1 species
AUUGAACGCUGGCGGCAGGCCUAACACAUGCAAGUCGAACGAGUGGCGGACGGGAGAGUUAUGUCUGUGAAACUGCCCGAUGGAUGGGGUUCACUACUGGAAACGGUAGCUAAUACCGCAUACCAUCGGAUGUACCCAGAUGGGAUUAGCUAGUAGGUGGGGUAAUGGCUCACCUAGGCGACGAUCCCUAGCUGGUCUGAGAGGAGUACCAGCCAAACUGGAACUGAGACACGGUCCAGACUCAGACGGGAGGCAGCAGUGGGGAAUAUUGCACAAUGGGCGAAAGCCUGAUGCAGCCAUGCCGCGUGUAUGAAGAAGGCCUUCGGGUUGGAAAGUACUUUCAGCGAGGAGGCGUUACUCGCAGAAGAAGCACCGGCUAACUCCGUGCCAGCAGCCGCGGUAAUUC